AAAAAGGUUCUUCUUAGAACCAUCAAUUUAGACCCACCCACCCUAG
rfam:Acyrthosiphon pisum strain LSR1 Contig1018689, whole genome shotgun sequence.